AUGAACUCACUAGAGCUGAUAAACACCACAAACACCUUCCUCUUCGAUCAACCCCCGUCGUCUCUGUCUCCUUUGAACGCCUUCUAUUAUCAACUCCCUCAUAUUUCUGACUCUCUCACCGCUGUCAUCACCUUCAUCCAUUCUCCGUUCAAUACCUACCGCCGCCUCUGUAUCCAUCAUCAUCGUGGUUCUACUCUCAAUCAUGAUCUUAGUGCCUCCGCACACGAUUCGCACAGUGAAGAAAAAAUAUGA